rnacentral:rRNA from 1 species
UAACACAUGCAAGUCGAACGAAGCGUAAGAGCUUGCUCCUAUGACUGAGUGGCGCACGGGUGAGUAACACGUGGGAAUCUGCCUAUUGGUGGGGAAUAACCUUUGGAAACGAAGGCUAAUACCGCAUAAGCCCUGAGGGGGAAAGAUUUAUCGCCAAUAGAUGAGCCCGCGCUAGAUUAGCUAGUUGGUGAGGUAAGAGCUCACCAAGGCUACGAUCUAUAGCUGGUCUGAGAGGAUGGUCAGCCACACUGGGACUGAGACACGGCCCAGACUCCUACGGGAGGCAGCAGUGGGGAAUAUUGGACAAUGGGGGAAACCCUGAUCCAGCGAUGCCGCGUGAGUGAAGAAGGCCUUCGGGUUGUAAAGCUCUUUCAGAGGGGAUGAUGAUGACGGUACCCUCAGAAGAAGCACCGGCUAACUUCGUGCCAGCAGCCGCGGUAAUACGAAGGGUGCAAGCGUUGUUCGGAAUUACUGGGCGUAAAGAGCGCGUAGGCGGCUUAUCAAGUCAGGCGUGAAAGCCCUGGGCUCAACCCGGGAAUUGCGUUUGAAACUGGUAAGCUUGAGUGUCAGAGGGGUGAGUGGAAUUCCUAGUGUAGAGGUGAAAUUCGUAGAUAUUAGGAGGAACACCAGUGGCGAAGGCAGGUCUCUGGGCCAAUACUGACACUGAGGAGCGAAAGUCUGGGGAGCGAACAGGAUUAGAUA